rnacentral:rRNA from 1 species
UACGUAGGGGGCAAGCGUUGUCCGGAAUCAUUGGGCGUAAAGCGCGUGUAGGCGGCCCGGUAAGUCCGCUGUGAAAGUCCAGGGCUCAACCCUGGGAUGCCGGUGGAUACUGUCGGGCUCGAGUCCGGAAGAGGAGUGUGGAAUUCCUGGUGUAGCGGUGAAAUGCGCAGAUAUCAGGAGGAACACCAAUGGCGAAGGCAGGUCUCUGGGCAUUAACUGACGCUGAGGAGCGAAAGCAUGGGGAGCGAACAGG